rnacentral:rRNA from 1 species
AUUGAACGCUGGCGGCAGGCCUAACACAUGCAAGUCGAACGGUAGCACAGAGAGCUUGCUCUCGGGUGACGAGUGGCGGACGGGUGAGUAACGUCUGGGAAACUGCCCGAUGGAGGGGGAUGACUACUGGAAACGGUAGCUAAUACCGCAUAACGUCGCAAGACCAAAGUGGGGGACCUUCGGGCCUCACACCAUCGGAUGUGCCCAGAUGGGAUUAGCUAGUAGGUGGGGUAAUGGCUCACCUAGGCGACGAUCCCUAGCUGGUCUGAGAGGAUGACCAGCCACACUGGAACUGAGACACGGUCCAGACUCCUACGGGAGGCAGCAGUGGGGAAUAUUGCACAAUGGGCGCAAGCCUGAUGCAGCCAUGCCGCGUGUAUGAAGAAGGCCUUCGGGUUGUAAAGUACUUUCAGCGGGGAGGAAGGCGGUGAAGUUAAUAACUUCACCGAUUGACGUUACCCGCAGAAGGAGCACCGGCUAACUCCGUGCCAGCAGCCGCAGUAAGAC